GAAUUGCAAAACAGAAGUGAAAUUUUCCUCUUGAUCUGUCUAUAUAAACACUUCUUUCUUUUCUUUGUAAAAGGGGGACAACACAAUAAUAAACUCUUUCUUUCUCUCAAAAACCUCACUCUCAUCUCCCUCUCACAACUCCUUCCACGCCAUACCCUUCCACCUCCUUUGAUUAUCCCACCAUCCUCAACAUCACCUUCUGUCAAACAAAAAAGCGCACAGCAUCACACAAACUCCCAUUCAAUUCACCUACACAAAAACAAAACCCCUUCAAUCCUAUAUUCAACUCUUUCAUUUUCCUAUGUGCAAAACCAAAAUGGCCAUUAA